GACGAACGCUGGCGGCGUGCUUAACACAUGCAAGUCGAACGAUGAAGCUAGAGCUUGCUCUGGUGAAUUAGUGGCGAACGGGUGAGUAACACGUGAGUAACCUGCCCCGAACUCUGGGAUAACUGCUGGAAACGGUAGCUAAUACUGGAUACGACCUACGAAGGCAUCUUCUGUAGGUGGAAAGAAUUUCGGAAAGGGAUGGAGUCGCGGCCUAUCAGCUUGUUGGUGAGGUAACGGCGCACCAAGGCGACGACGGGUAGCCGGCCUGAGAGGGCGACCGGCCACACUGGGACUGAGACACGGCCCAGACUCCUACGGGAGGCAGCAGUGGGGAAUAUUGCACAAUGGGCGCAAGCCUGAUGCAGCGACGCCGCGUGAGGGAUGAAGGUCUUCGGAUUGUAAACCUCUUUCAGUAGGGACGAAGCGAAAGUGACGGUACCUAAAGAAGAAGCACCGGCUAACUACGUGCCAGCCGCCGCCGUAA
rnacentral:rRNA from 1 species